rnacentral:rRNA from 1 species
UACGGAGGGGGCGAGCGUUAUUCGGAAUUAUUGGGCGUAAAGGGCGCGUAGGCGGCUUGAUGUGUCAAAGGUGAAAUCCCUCGGCUCAACUGAGGAACUGCCUUUGAAACUGUCUGGCUUGAGGCCGGGAGAGGGUAGCGGAAUUCCCAGUGUAGCGGUGAAAUGCGUAGAUAUCUGGAGGAACACCGGUGGCGAAGGCGGCAUCCUGGACCGGCAUUGACGCUGAGGCGCGAAAGCUAGGGGAGCAAACGGG